rnacentral:tRNA from 4 species
GCGGAAGUGGCGGAAUGGCAGACGCGCUAGAUUCAGGUUCUAGUGGGAGUUUUAUCCUGUGAGAGUUCAAGUCUCUUCUUCCGCA